UACGUAGGUGGCGAGCGUUAUCCAGAUUUACUGGGUGUAAAGGGUGCGCAGACGGCAGUACAAGUCUGAUGUGAAAGCCCGGGGCUCAACCCCGGAACUGCAUUGGAAACUGUACAGCUCGAGUGUCGGAGGGGUAAGCGGAAUUCCUAGUGUAGCGGUGAAAUGCGUAGAUAUUAGGAGGAACACCCGUGGCGAAGGCGGCUUACUGGACGACUACUGACGUUGAGGCUCGAAAGUGUGGGGAGCAAAC
rnacentral:rRNA from 1 species